GCGCUGACUAGUACUGCUGCUAGGAAAUAUCAAGGGGGUGGCGCAGGUACUAAUAUUGGAAACAAAAAGACAAUAUCAGCAUGACCUUUGGGUAGGUGUGACCUGCAUAUUAGUGAGAUGUUCCAAAUUUUU
rnacentral:snRNA from 1 species